UGGCGGCACUAGCGCGGUGGUCCCACCUGACCCCAUGCCGAACUCAGAAGUGAAACGCCGUAGCGCCGAUGGUAGUGU
rnacentral:rRNA from 2 species